GGGGAAAUUGCCAACUUCCUGUUGGUUUUUGCCCGAGGAUGUGAAAUUAUGAAUUGUAGGUCUAAGUGAGACCUACAUACAGGUUUUUGUUUCAUGUCUCUACGACCUUCCUAGUGGGAGUUACAGGCAGUUUGUUUUUGUUUUUUUCCUAGGGGGCGCUAGAGCGCAAGUUUGAUUUUUUUUUUUUUUACUAAAGUGUGCUGUCCCAGUUUUUCUAUGUUUGUAUAAAAUUUGGUGAGUUUUGAAGCAUGUUAAGGGGGGCAAAGUAGUGCGCAAAGCUGCGAAAUAAUAAUCAACCUUACAAUUCCAAUAGGUUCCUUUGUACCUGUAUAACAGGGAGUCCUUUAUACAGGUACAUGCGAACCCUAAUUAUGUACUCAUAUAGUAGUACAGUUGGCACAGUACAGUAAACUGACAGUUAAUAUUUCAACAUUUGACAUUUCAAACAAAUAUGAACAGAAAUAGUUCAUGCACAUUCAGAUGAAUACUUCAAAAUUACAAUUAAAAUGUUUUGUUUUUGUAUAUAUGCGCACUAAUUGACUAAAAAGAGCACGCACUUGGCGUGAUGAUGUCAUGUUAUCCAUGGAAAAAUGCAUGUUUAGACAAUAUGAUUUGCCUGAGCGGCUAGGAGACCCCGAGAGUAACAAGCGCUUGCCUUGUUGCCUUUCCAUUAAGAACAAUAAAUUAGUUUUUAGUAUAAGUUUGCUGGUUUCAAGAAAUGUAAUAUCAUUAUGUCAAGAUAAUGGCACUAGCAUUUACUUCAUUUAAGAAUAUUUUACAACAUAUUGAGCAAAAAGGUCUCUUUUUUUAUACCAAGAAAAGCGCACUUGUUAUUAGCGAGAAUAUACUUAUUUUAAGCUAUUUUUGGGUUCAUUGAAGUUAGCUAAUUAGGGACCGAGUACCCUAUUGUAUUUCUAGCGUUUUAUUAUUAUACCGCCACCUCUUUAAACUGUAAUUUGACCCCCUUAACAUGCUUCAAAACUCACCAAACUGGACACACACAUCAGGACUGGCGAAAAUUGCGAUCUAAUAAAAAAAAAAAAAAAAAAAACUCAAAAUUGCGCUCUAGCGCCCCCUAGGAAGAAAACACAGACAAACUCCCAGUAGGAAUGUCGUAGAGACAUGAAACAAAAACCUCUACGUAGGUCUCACUUGGAUCUAGAUUUCAUACACUGACAACCCCCAGCGAAAAUCAACAGGAAGUUUGCAAUUCCCCCUUCAAAACAGAGGUUGAGUAAAAACAGUCACCUAUUUUCAAACAUUAUCUCCUCUGAGCGCGUUUGUCGUGUGGGCUUUAAACUAGCACAGGAGAGAGAUUGAACCCUUCUGAUUAAAAGUUGAUGAAAGAGUUUUGAUUACUGCUCCGGUUUGGAUAUUAUGAGCCCUCAAAGUCGGUCCCGUCCGUCGCUCCGAUUGCUGGCACGGCCACUCUACCAACUUCGCCACGCCGUCCCCUCUAUGUAGGUCUCACUUAGACCUAGAUUUCAUACGCUGACAACCCCAAGCAAAAAUCAACAGGAAGUUUGCAAUUCCCCCUUCAAAACAAAAGUUGAGUAAAAAAAGUCACCUUUUUUUAAACAUUUUAUCCUCUGAGCGCGUUUGUCGUGUCGGCUUCAAACUAGCACAGGAGGGAGAUUCAACCCUUAUGAUUAAAAUUUGAUGAAAGCGUUUUAAUUACUGCUCCGGUUUGGAUUUUAUGAGCCCUCAAAGUCGGUGCCGUCCAUCGCUGCUUGCCGCUUUAAUUAGGGUCCGCACGUACCCUGUACAAAGGACUCCCACAGGGAGUCCUUUAUACAGGGACAAAGGACACUAUUGAAAUUGUAAGGCUUUAUUAUUAGGGUCCGCCUGUACCCUGUAUGGGAGUCCUUUGUACAGGUUACAAAGGAACCUAUUGAAUUUGUAAUGUUUAUUAUUAUUAUUCCGCCGCCACAAAAAACGCUAUUUUGACCCACUUAACAUGCUUCAAAACUCACCAAAUGUGACACACACAUCAGGACCUGCGAAAAUUUCCAUAAAAUCAAAAAACCAAACCCCAAAACUCAAAAUUGCACUCCAGCGCCCCCUAGGAAAAAACAAAAACAAACUGCCUGUAACUCCCACUAGGAAGGUCGUAGAGACAUGAAACAAAAACCUGUAUGUAGGUCUCACUUAGACCUACAAUUCAUAAUGACACAUCCUCGGGCAAAAACCAACAGGAAGUUGGCAAUUUCCCAUUUAAGACAAAAAUGUACUAAAAACACUCAUUUUUUCCUCUUUGACCUCUAAUUUGACCCUCUUAAAAUACUUCAAAACUCACCAAACUUCUCACACACAUCGGGACUGGUGGAAAUUGCGAUCUAAAAAAAACCCGAACCCCAAAACUCAAAAUUGCGCUCUAGCGCAAUUUUUGAAUAAAACAGAGACAAAACUGCUUCUCAGAGGAAAACACAGACAAAACUGCUUGUAACUUCCGGUAGGAACGUCUUAGAGACAUGAAACAAAAACCUCUACGUAGGUCUCACGUAGACCUACAUUUCAUAGAUUGACAUCCUUCUGCAAAAAUCAACAGGCCAAAUGUUCUUCUUCUAUUGGCAGAUAAUUUUGCUUAGUUCAAAUAAAAUACCCCUCAUUUUUGUAUUUUUUUGUUCUUGUUUUUGAACACUGACUUUUUGCAGCGCAGCCGCACCGGACUAUAAGUACAAUGUGAGUUGAGGUAUUUACACAGCAAGACGUUGUCAGUGGUAUUCACUUUUGGUGAAUCUACAAAACCGUAACAACACAAAAAGAAUGCCGGCGUUAGUUAAUACUAACAAAGGACACUUGUAAACAUGUUAGCAUACUAGCUAAUGCCAUUGACACAUAUGAAUGAAAACACUUUUACGCACAUGGGACGGUUGAGUACGUGAGGAUUGUUGUAGUUAUAUUGUAAAACUUACAAACGUCGCCCGUGGCGAUGAAUGAAAAAAAAAUAAACGAACGGCACUUGUACUUCCGGUUGAAAGCUCAGUCUAAACAGAAUGAACAAUAUUAAAAACAAUAUUCAAAUAUUAUCCUUAGCUCCACCAAUGACUGAAUAAAAACAAAAAAUAAAUAAAUAUAAAACCAAUAUAAAAAUAAAUAUGAUUAAAAACGAUUUUAAUGGGUAAAACCAAUUAAAACAAUAAAUAGAAAUCAACAUUUAACCACACAAGUCACGUAGUGUUAAAAGCCAGAGAAUAAAAGUGGGUCUUAAGACGAGACUUAAGAGAGUCCACUGUGGGAGCAGUUGGAACAUGGAGGGGCAGAAUGUUCCAGAGCUUAGCCCGGUCUCCCCUGGUUUUAAGUCUGGCCUUGGGCACCACGAGCUGGAGCUGGAUCUCGGUCCCAAGUGUACAUUUGGAUGAGGUCUGAGAUAUAAUGAGGUGCCAGUCCGUGCACGGCUUUAAAAGCAAACAGCAAGAUUUUAAAAUCAAUUCUAAAAUGAACAGUGAGCCAGUUUUUUUAUUAUUAUUAUUUGCAUUGUGGCCGAAGGAAAAAUCCAUAAAUUAGAAACACUCGUUUUAGGAACCGCAGGGUGUAAAGCGUAGGAAAAGGCUUAUAGUCCGGAAUGUACGGUACUCAGGAUGGGAAUUCAACAAAAGUGUCCAAAAAAAAUCUCGUUAGCGAUGCGCUCUCUCUCUCUCGCCAUGUGCUGCACUCCUGUUUCCAAGCGAGCGUCGUGUUAACGGAGGGAACCAACAGCGCCUCUGCAGGUUGCAGCCGAGUACUGCACGCCAUUUUGCCUCAACAGAAUCAUUCUGGAACAUACGCGUCUGUUCUGAGACUUGAGUGUAUUUUGCUGUUGUGUUGACAUUAUUUGGGUCUUAACUGAAGAAACUAGCUUGUUGUCUUUUAAAAGAGUUUGUCUCCAUAAGUACUUCAAAACUGCACUCACACACAUUUAGUAGGAGUUUGCACAAAAAUAUGUGAGUAUUUUGGGCUUUAUUUGUCUUUUUAAUGGACACUGAUAACAAUCAACAACGUAAAAUGCAGUUCAAAUAUAAAUGAUAAUAAUAAUAAUAGAUUUUAUUUGUAAAAAACUAGGGAUGUCCGAUAAUGGCUUUUUGCCGAUAUCCGAUAUUCAGAUAUUGUCCAACUCUUUAAUUACCGAUACCGAUAUCAACCGAUAUAUGCAGUCGUGGAAUUAACACAUUAUUAUGCCUAAUUUGGACAACCAGGUAUGGUGAAGAUAAGGUACUUUUUAAAAAAUAAUAAUAAAAUAAGAUAACUAAAUUAAAAACAUUUUCUUGAAUAAAAAAGAAAGUAAAACAAUAUAAAAACAGUUACAUAGAAACUAGUAAUGAAUGAAAAUGAGUAAAAUGAACUGUUAAAGGUUAGUACUAUUAGUGGAGCAGCAGCACGCACAAUCAUGUGUGCUUACGGACUGUAUCCCUUGCAGACUGUAUUGAUAUAUAUUGAUAUAUAAUGUAGGAACCAGAAUAUUGAUAACAGAACGAAAUGGGGGGAGGGAGGUUUUUUGGGUUGGUGCACUAAUUGUAAGUGUAUCUCGUGUUUUUUAUGUUGAUUUAAUUAAAAAAAAACAAAAAAAAACGAUACAGAUACUAAAAAAAACCGAUACCGAUAAUUUCCGAUAUUACAUUUUAACGCAUUUAUCGGCCGAUAAUAUCGGCAGGCCGAUAUUAUCGGACAUCCCUAUAAAAAAAAACUUUACAUUGAGCAAACAACCUCAAAGUGCUACAGUGUAUUGAAAAAAAUAAUAAUAAUAAAAAGGUAAUAAAAAAAUAAAAACUAGAACAGCCUAAUAGCUAGAACUAGUAUACAUAUAUCUAUAAAAAAAAAAAAAAUUUCUUUAAAAAGGGUUUUUAAGCCUUUUUUAAUAGCAUCCACAGUCUGUGGUGCCCUCAGGUGGUCAGGGAGAGCGUUCCACAGACUGGGAGCGGCGGAGCAGAAAGCCCACAGUUCGUAGCUUUGUCCUGGAAACGAUGACACGGCAGUCCGUACUAUCCUCAUUAAUGCUGCGGUGUUGUCGUUCAUUAUUCUUAAAAAUAACCUGAAGCAUCAUUUAAGAUAAAACAAAGUGGAUAUAGAAAGUAAUCACGACCUUGUUGAUUCUUUGAUGACGGCACAGCAGCAUAUCAUGCUUUGUCAUUACACUCCUCUCGUUUAUCGGCCUAAAAGCAUCAUUUUAGUUGCGACAUCAAGUGGAUAUACAAACCAUUCCGAUCAAAUAGUUCUAUCUCCCUUUUUAACACGUUGUUGUUUAUCAAUCCCAGCAGCAUAUCAUGUUUGAUCGUUACUUAAACGCUGUCGUUUUUAAAGAAAAUAAAACGACUGUUAUUCAAAAUAGCCUAUAAACAUUAUUUCCCUUGUGACCUGCGUUGGAUAUAGAAAGUGAUCACACACCUGUUAUUUUUUCAAAGAUUGCAUAGCAGCAUAUCAUGCUUUGUCAUUACACCAGCAAAUAUUCAUUCCUCAUCCUUAAAGCAUCAUUUUAGUUGCGUCAUGAAGUGAAUAUAGAAAGUAAAAACAAGCUUGAUAAUUAUUAUUUUUUAUGAUGGCACAACAGCAUAUCAUGCUCUGUCAUUACCUCACUACUACAUCAAAUAUUCAUAUAUCCUCAUGACUUUGUUGUUGUUUAUCAAACCCGGCAGCAUGUCAUGCUCAGUCGUCACCAUGCCGACGCCAUCAACGCACUUUUGUUGCUGUUGUGAUUUAUCGGCGUGUCAUGCUUCAUCGUUACUAUCCAGACGCCAUCAACGUACCCAUGUACAGUAUUUAUGCUGCCACAGCAGGAUAUCAUGCUCUGUCAUUACUAAAUACGGUCCAAUAGUUCUAUAUUCUUCUUUAACAUGUUGUUGUUUAUCAAUCCCAGCAGCAUAUCAUGUUUGAUCGUUACUUAAACCGUGUCGUUUUUAAAAGAAAAUAAAACAACUGUUGUUGAAAAUAGCCUAAAAACAUUAAUUUCGUGUUUUCCGUGUUGCUGUUGUGAUUCAUCAAUGGCAGCAGCAUGUCAUGCACUAUCGUUGUGGCGCAGCAGUUGUUUUCUAUCGUAAAAAAAUAUAUAUAUAUGGUAAUAAAAAAAUGUUAAAUCAAAGUGUAAAAAAUAUUCUGUCGGGGUAAAAUAUAUUUAAGAAAAUAAUGAAAUAAAAUACAAUUAUGUCAAAUAUAAGUUCACCCAGCUUUAUCAAUGACAGCAGCAUGUCAUGCUCUAUCGUUACUAUUGCAGAUUUUUAUGUCAUAAAAAAAAGUAUCUUAAAAUUACAGAGAAAAACUGUGAAAUCAAAGUAUAAAAAAUAUUCUAUUAAGGUAAUAAUAUAUUAAAUUAAAUAAUGAAAAAUAUAAAUUCACCCAGCUUCAUCAAUGACAGCAGCAUGUCACGCUCUAUCGUUACUAUUCAAGAAUUUUCUGUCAUAAAAAAAUGUUUACUAUAUAAAAAUUAUCUUAAAAUUUAGAGGAAAAACUGUAAAAUCAAAGUAUUAAAAAAUAUUCUGUUAAGGUAAAAAUAUAUGAAAUUAAAUAAUGAAAAAUAUAAAUACAUCCAGCUUCAUCAAUGACAGCAGCAUGUCACGCUCUAUCGUUACUAGUCAAGAACUUUCUGUCAUUAAAAAAAAUUGACUAUAUAAAAAUGAUCUUAAAAUUAAAAAGAAAAACUGUAAAAUUAAAGUAUAAAAAAUAUUCUAUAGAGGUAAAAAUAUAUUUAAAAAAUAAUUAAAUGAAAUGAAAUAUUGAAAAAAUAUAAAUUCAUCUAGCUUCAUCAAUGACAGCAGCAUGUCAUGCUCUAUCAUUACUAUUCCAGAUUUUUAUGUCCUAAAAAAAAUUAAGACUAUAAAAUAAGUAUCUUAAAAUUACAGAGAAAAACUGUAAAAUCAAAGUAUAAAAAAUAUUCUAUUAAGGUAAAAAUAUAUUAAAUGAAAUAAUGAAAAAUAUAAAUUCAAAAAAUAUCUUAAAAUGAAGAACUGUAAAAUCAAAGUAUAAAAAAUAUUCCAUGGAGGUAAAAAUAUAUUUUAAAAAUAAUGAAAUAAAAUAUUGAAAAAUAUAAAUUCACUCAGCUUUAUCAAUGAUAUUAUCAUUAAAUUACAAAUAAGGAGCUCAUCUUUUUGUGCAAUUUCCUACUAAAUUCGGGCUUGUUUGGCUUUUAUUUUGUCAUUUCCACACGAAGCCACUUGUCCCAAAACUUCCUGUUGACUUUGUGGUCAACAACAACGUCUCGCCCCUGACCCCUGACCCCUGACCUUUAGUCAACCAACACAAUUGUCCUUUUUCAGAGUUGAGUAGGGAUGUGUGUCACCUCGCGUCGCUUCACUUCUUCACCCAGACUCACAACAGUUGCAAACGUGUGCGUGAACGUGUGAAUUGUCUCACUUGUCCACCAAUAGAAGGAAGCAACUUACUUUUCUUCUUUUUUUUUAAUAGCAAGACCGCAUUUAAACCAGCGUGUUCAUGAAGGUAGCGUGUGUGUGUGUGUGUGUGUGUGUGUGUGUGUGUGUGUGUGUGUGUGUGUGUGUGUGUGUGUGUGUGUGUGUGUGUGUGUGUGUGUGUGUGUGUGUGUGUGUGUGUGUGUGUGUGUGUGUGUGUGUGUGUGUGUGUGCACCAUCUAUGUAGUUGUGUGUUUUCGCUGAUUGUCUUAUUGACUCGUAACUGUUGCCUCUUUUUGGACGAUGUCAUGAGUGUGUUAGGACACACCUUGUGUACAUAAAUAAAUAAAUAAAUAAAUAGACGCUCCAAAGACCAAAAUACAGACUUUGUAUUGGCAUCUCUUGUCUUAAGCAACUAUAACUGGACUUACAGUCACGCUGUACUGAUUUCAUGCUAGUGACCUUUUCCUGUCUUCUUUUGCAUCCUCUUUCCUACCAUUUGUAUAGAAAGAUGUUCUAUUUUGUACAUUUUAUGUUGUUGUUGUUGUUGUUUUUAUUGUUGUCUUUUCCUCCUGAUUAAAAUAAAAAAAACCUUUUGGAAACAUA